GACGAACGCUGGCGGUAUGCCUAAUACAUGCAAGUCGAACGCUGAAGCACUCUGCUUGCAGAGUGUGGAUGAGUGGCGAACGGGUGAGUAACACGUGGGGAACCUGCCCAUAAGAGGAGGAUAACAUCCGGAAACGGGUGCUAAUACCGCAUAGGUUAUCAUAGCGCAUGCUUAGAUCAUUAAAGAUGGCUUCGGCUAUUGCUCAUCGAUGGCCCCGCGGCGUAUUAGCUAGUUGGUGAGGUAAUGGCUCACCAAGGCUGUGAUACGUAGCCGACCUGAGAGGGUGAUCGGCCACACUGGAACUGAGACACGGUCCAGACUCCUACGGGAGGCAGCAGUAGGGAAUCUUCCACAAUGGGCGAAAGCCUGAUGGAGCAAUACCGCGUGAGUGAAGAAGGUCUUCGGAUCGUAAAGCUCUGUUGUUAGAGAAGAACAAGAGGUGUAGUAACUGGCACCUCCUUGACGGUAUCUAACCAGAAAGUCACGGCUAACUACGUGCCAGCAGCCGCAGUAA
rnacentral:rRNA from 1 species